rnacentral:rRNA from 1 species
UACGUAGGGGGCAAGCGUUGUCCGGAUUUAUUGGGCGUAAAGAGCGUGUAGGCGGCCACACAGGUCAGCUGUGAAAACUCGAGGCUCAACCUCGAGACGUCGGUUGAAACCGUAUGGCUAGAGUCCGGAAGAGGAGAGUGGAAUUCCCGGUGUAGCGGUGAAAUGCGCAGAUAUCGGGAGGAACACCGAUUGCGAAGGCAGCUCGCUGGAACGUUACUGACGCUGAGACGCGAAAGCGUGGGGAGCAAACAGG